GAUGAACGCUGGCGGCGUGCCUAAUACAUGCAAGUCGAGCGAACAGACGAGGAGCUUGCUCCUCUCGCGUUAGCGGCGGACGGGUGAGUAACACGUGGAUAACCUACCUAUAAGACUGGGAUAACUUCGGGAAACCGGAGCUAAUACCGGAUAAUAUAUUGAACCGCAUGGUUCAAUAGUGAAAGCCGGUUUUGCUGUCACUUAUAGAUGGAUCCGCGCCGCAUUAGCUAGUUGGUAAGGUAACGGCUUACCAAGGCAACGAUGCGUAGCCGACCUGAGAGGGUGAUCAGCCACACUGGAACUGAGACACGGUCCAGACUCCUACGGGAGGCAGCAGUAGGGAAUCUUGCGCAAUGGGCGAAAGCCUGACGGAGCAACGCCGCGUGAGUGAUGAAGGUCUUCGGAUCGUAAAGCUCUGUUAUUAGGGACGAAAAAAAGUGUAAGUAACUAUGCACGUGUUGACGGUACCUAAAGAGAAAGCCACGGCUAACUACGUG
rnacentral:rRNA from 1 species